UCUAGGACGUUAAAAAAAUCCGGAUACUACAAACCUUGUUUAAAAUUCAAAGAACUUGGCGGUAUCUUAUACAGUCAGGGGAACCUGUCCCUUAAUUCGAUAAUCCACGAUCGUUAUACCCUUCCUCGUUAUUCAGCUUGUGUACUGCCGUCGAAUGUAUACCUCAAAGAGAAAGUAUACAAUAAUGAGACCAUUGACGUCAGGUCAAAGUGCAGCCAAUGGAAGGGGGGAGAUGGGUUACAAUUUCAAUAAAAGCCAACAACCUAUAAAAAUAGGUAAAAAAGAUGGACUUGAAAGUAAUAAUUUCCACCAUAAAAUUAUGAAUAGGAAUCUAAGAUAUGUACACAUCGCCCGUCGCUCUCGUCGAAAGAUG
rnacentral:rRNA from 1 species